CUGGAGGGGCACUUGCCAUGUUAAAACUUGUGGACAUUUUAAAUGUGGACACACAUUGCCAAACUGCUCUCCAAAAAGGUUGUGUCACCAACUAUAAAAAGUGUUCAUUUCUCUGAGGAAUUUGCCAGUGUAAUAGAUUUCAGUGUGGAGAUGGUGAAAUAUAAAAAUACCAGCUUCCCAAUCUGGGAUGUCAGUAGCCAUUGCAAAAUCCCUUACUUUGUGAUUUUACUGGAGACAUUACUUCAAGGACACUAAGGAUCUCCCCAGUGUUAUGAACACAGCAGAGGUAACAGACAAGUUUGGCUUACGUUCCCUUCGCCAGAAAAACUGGUGCAUUCAGGUUACUUGUGCCCCAUGAAAAUGGGCUUUAAGAAGGCCUGGACUGCUCUCCAACCAGCUCAAAAACCGGAAGUGACUGGGAGCAAUCCAUUCCCUGAGCAUCAUGGCAAAAUCAGCUGGUCUCUUCUUUGUGCAUGGACGUGUGUGUGAGGAGCCAAGCGUGGGUGUGUGGCUGGGAGUGGGGGCAGCUUUCUCACACCGUGCAUGUAUCAUGCUCUAAGAAAAGCAGUCAACAUUUUAAGAAAAACCAGUGUUACGUUUUAAAUGCUGCCUUCCAUUUCAGUAGCUUUGAUGAUCGUUUCUACAGUUGAUGGAGGAAUCCUAAGGGCUUACCUGUGCACUAGCCAGAGUGGUCUUCAUGGGGCAAAGGAGGAGAGUGGGUGCGAGGACCGAGUUCAGGUGUGCAGCCCUGGCUCUGUUGUCUCUGCAUAGCUGGUAUCUAUAAAAAGGAAGGAACUGUCCUUCUUUCCCAUCACUGCCAGAGCUAGCAGCUCACUUUUCAGUGCUUUAAAGCAAAUGGUCCUCAAGAGAGAAAAAGCAUUUGCUUACCAUUGGUUUGAAGUUCGCAUUUGAACUUUUCCUUUAAGUUAUAUUCCAGCCUCGACUUCCUGGUUUAUGUGCUUUAUUUCAAGGAAUCGGUGAUCUUUUUCACUAGAAUAUCCAGAUUCCAUUAAUAGUAUAAAAUUAUCCAGUCUUCUCCUUAUGCUAGCUCCUUCUGUCAUUUGCCUCUUAUUUGCCAAAUGGAGAUCAUGUGGGGUAGCAACCCAGAAUGAGGUAAAGGCUCUUUAUUGGGGCCACACAGUCAAGUGAAGAGUCUGGGUAAAGGAAGCAAGGUGACAGUCAUGUUUGAGUCCUUGUGUCACCACCUCAGGUUUCAGGCUCCUGAGACUGCUACUCCCACUUUGUUUGCUCUGUGCUGAAUGUUCUACGCUCAAAGCAGGAGGUUUGCUCCCGGGAUGGAAUCGUCACUAUGUAUGGUACCUUAGUAUGACUUCUGGUUUUGGUUAGUAUCUGUUCCCAGAACUACACCUGUAAGUUCUGAGAAUUUGUGAGAGAAUCAAGCGGUUCGUUUAGGGGACAGAAUUCUGGGCAACUCCUGAUAUUACCCCUGAGCUGGUGCUAAAUUUUCCUGUGAAAACUGUCUUGUCUAAGAAAAAGAAAUGCAUCCAAAUUGGUAAGGAAGAAGUAAAAUUGUCAUUAUAUGCAGAUGACAUGAUACUAUAUAUAGAGA